rnacentral:pre_miRNA from 1 species
AUUCUACUCCCUCCGUUGCACAAUACAUGCCUUCUAUUUGUCAGAAUAUAUAUGUAUCUAGACAUGUCUUAGUAUAUAGGUACAUCCAUUUUUGGACAAAUGGAAGUCAAGUAUUUUGGAACGGAGGGAGUACACA